rnacentral:rRNA from 1 species
GGAUGAGCCCGCGGCCUAUCAGCUUGUUGGUGAGGUAACGGCUCACCAAGGCGACGACGGGUAGCCGGCCUGAGAGGGCGACCGGCCACACUGGGACUGAGACACGGCCCAGACUCCUACGGGAGGCAGCAGUGGGGAAUAUUGCACAAUGGGCGAAAGCCUGAUGCAGCGACGCCGCGUGAGGGAUGACGGCCUUCGGGUUGUAAACCUCUUUCAGCAGGGAAGAAGCGAAAGUGACGGUACCUGCAGAAGAAGCGCCGGCUAACUACGUGCCAGCAGCCGCGGUAAUACGUAGGGCGCAAGCGUUGUCCGGAAUUAUUGGGCGUAAAGAGCUCGUAGGCGGCUUGUCACGUCGGUUGUGAAAGCCCGGGGCUUAACCCCGGGUCUGCAGUCGAUACGGGCAGGCUAGAGUUCGGUAGGGGAGAUCGGAAUUCCUGGUGUAGCGGUGAAAUGCGCAGAUAUCAGGAGGAACACCGGUGGCGAAGGCGGAUCUCUGGGCCGAUACUGACGCUGAGGAGCGAAAGCGUGGGGAGCGAACAGGAUUAGAUACCCUGGUAGUCCACGCCGUAAACGGUGGGCACUAGGUGUGGGCAACAUUCCACGUUGUCCGUGCCGCAGCUAACGCAUUAAGUGCCCCGC